CAACUGAUUCCACAUGGCGAGCUACGGCGAUAGCCACGAUUUCGCUCCACUACCCUUCGCAAUAAAGUCCCCCUGACUACGGGCGGCCCACUACCAGACGGUUACAAACGUCGCCAUCAAUCCGUUACCUCCUCCGCCUAUAAAAGGGGGACCCAGAUACGUUAUUCUAUAAGCUCAUUUCUUAUCUCAAAACUCUGCUAAAUUCU
rnacentral:lncRNA from 1 species